ACGGGUGAGUAACGCGUGGGUAACCUGCCUCAUACAGGGGGAUAACAGUUAGAAAUGACUGCUAAUACCGCAUAAGCGCACAGUGCUGCAUAGCACAGUGUGAAAAACUCCGGUGGUGUGAGAUGGACCCGCGUCUGAUUAGGUAGUUGGUGAGGUAAUGGCCCACCAAGCCGACGAUCAGUAGCCGACCUGAGAGGGUGACCGGCCACAUUGGGACUGAGACACGGCCCAAACUCCUACGGGAGGCAGCAGUGGGGAAUAUUGGACAAUGGGGGAAACCCUGAUCCAGCGACGCCGCGUGAGUGAAGAAGUGUUUCGGCAUGUAAAGCUCUAUCAGCAGGGAAGAAAAUGACGGUACCUGACCAAGAAGCCCCGGCUAACUACGUGCCAGCAGCCGCGGUAAUACGUAGGGGGCAAGCGUUAUCCGGAUUUACUGGGUGUAAAGGGAGCGUAGACGGCUCUGCAAGUCUGGAGUGAAAGCCCGGGGCUCAACCCCGGGACUGCUUUGGAAACUGUGGAGCUAGAGUGCAGGAGAGGUAAGUGGAAUUCCUAGU
rnacentral:rRNA from 1 species